GGACUACAGGGGUUUCUAAUCCUGUUUGCUCCCCACGCUUUCGUGCCUCAGCGUCAGUUGCGCACCAGUGGGGCCCCUUCGGCUCCGGCCUUCCCUGCAAUAUCUACGCAUUUCACCGCUACACUGCAGGUUCCCCCCACCCCUCACGCACUCCAGUUCGCCAGUAUCACAGGCCAUUUUCCGGUUGGGCCGAAAACUUUCACCAGUGACUUAACAAACCGCCUACGCACCCUUUAUGCCCAGUAAUUCCGAACAACGCUUGCCCCACAUGUAUUACCGCGGCUGCUGGCAC
rnacentral:rRNA from 1 species